rnacentral:lncRNA from 1 species
AGUGACAAACAGAAUCCAGCCUUCAACAGCUGUUGGGGAAGGGAGGGAGAAUGAGCACACCAGAGAAAAACUUCAAGCAAGAUCACAACAGUGGAGUGAGUGCGGGUUUCAGAGAUUGGUUAAGCUAUCUCUGACUCCAUUCCUACUUGGUUUUAUUUCACUGGUCCAUAAUUCACUACAAACACAGAGCCCUACUGGCUACAUUUCACUUACAGCGCUGUGGUCCGGGUUCAUCACCAUCCUGCUCCACGCUGUCAUAAUCCUCACGCAUCCGCGCUCGAGACCCUUCUUCUAUAAAGAACAUACAGGAGAUCACCGGAAAUCUCUUCUCCCACUGUUCCCCAUGAGCCCGAAUGGGGACCCCGAAACUCAUAGCUGUCGCCACUCUAAACCCAUUUUCCCGGCACAACACUCACCGGAGCCAAAGCCGCGGCCCUUCCGUUUCUUCGCCUUUUCUUUCAGUUUGUGGAUGCUCUCUGGAGCCCCAGAAGUGCAAGAAUGAAUAACAAAGAUAACAGUUACUUAUAACAAUAGUCUGUCUCCGAAAACAUCAUCUGAAGGCAGUCCCACCACCUCCAGUCCCAUUCCCUUCCCGGUCCCUCCCCCAUUCCUCCCGAAGGGGGCGCAGUCUCUAAUCCAACCGAAACCUGGUUCCCCGACUCCCAUCCUCCCUGCCGGGCAGGAAUUGUUUUCCUAUUACAUCCUUCUCUCGCACCUUCCCCGCUUCCCGCAGCAGCCUCCACUGUCCUCACCGUCCCCAUCCUCAUCCAUGGCGAAAUCCUCGCCCCCGGCCUCAUGAAGAUCCAGCACGUCCGCCAUCUUGCCUCCCUUCUUGCUCUCGUCCGUGCCGCUCAGGCACUAGGCACCUCGGGAAACUGUCGCGGAG